AGCGAACGCUGGCGGCAGGCCUAACACAUGCAAGUCGAACGAACUCUUCGGAGUUAGUGGCGGACGGGUGAGUAACACGUGGGAACGUGCCUUUUGGUUCGGAAUAACUCAGGGAAACUUGUGCUAAUACCGAAUGUGCCCUUCGGGGGAAAGAUUUAUCGCCAUUAGAGCGGCCCGCGUCUGAUUAGCUAGGUGGUGAGGUAACGGCUCACCAAGGCGACGAUCAGUAGCUGGUCUGAGAGGAUGACCAGCCACACUGGGACUGAGACACGGCCCAGACUCCUACGGGAGGCAGCAGUGGGGAAUCUUGCGCAAUGGGCGAAAGCCUGACGCAGCCAUGCCGCGUGAAUGAUGAAGGUCUUAGGAUUGUAAAAUUCUUUCACCGGGGACGAUAAUGACGGUACCCGGAGAAGAAGCCCCGGCUAACUUCGUG
rnacentral:rRNA from 1 species